CCAACAAAACGUCUUAUCGCCUCUGUUUUUGCAGGGGAGGAAAGUCCGGACAACACAGAGCAUCAUGCUUCCUAACGGGAAGGAACGAGUUUGGCGACGAACUCGUUACAGCCAGUGCCACAGAAAAUUACCGCCUGUUUAGGGCUUAGGGGUUAGCGUUUGAGCAUUAUGAAUUGAUUAAUCCUCAAUGGCUAACUCCUAAAACCUAAAAAGGUAAGGGUGAAAAGGUAGGGUAAGAGCCUACCGCCCGCUUGGCGACAAGCGGGGCAUAGGUAAACCUCAUGAGUUGAAAGACCAAAUAGGCUGACGAGACGGUUAUCAGUAAACAGUUAGCACUGAACAGAAAGUAAAUUGAGUUUAGAAUUUAGUAAUAAUUUUCCUCCACACUAUUUACAGGUUUACUGACAACUGUUUACUGAUAACUGAAAAAAGGGCUGCUCGCCUGAUGUCAGUGGGUAGGUUGAUAGAGCGUAUCGGUGACGGUACGUCGAGAUAAAUGAUAAGACCACAUCCUUGAUGUGGACAGAAUCCGGCUUAUAGUUUUGUUAUUUUA
rnacentral:RNase_P_RNA from 1 species